GGAGAGGUCGCAUAGUGGUCUAGUGCGGCGGUUUGCUAAACCGCUGUUGGGGUUUCUCAACCGAGAGUUCGAAUCUCUCCCUCUCCG
rnacentral:tRNA from 1 species